AGAGUUUGAUCAUGGCUCAGAUUGAACGCUGGCGGCAGGCCUAACACAUGCAAGUCGAACGGUAACAGGAAGCAGCUUGCUGCUUCGCUGACGAGUGGCGGACGGGUGAGUAAUGUCUGGGAAGCUGCCUGAUGGAGGGGGAUAACUACUGGAAACGGUAGCUAAUACCGCAUAAUGUCGCAAGACCAAAGAGGGGGACCUUCGGGCCUCUUGCCAUCGGAUGUGCCCAGAUGGGAUUAGCUUGUUGGUGGGGUAACGGCUCACCAAGGCGACGAUCCCUAGCUGGUCUGAGAGGAUGACCAGCCACACUGGAACUGAGACACGGUCCAGACUCCUACGGGAGGCAGCAGUGGGGAAUAUUGCACAAUGGGCGCAAGCCUGAUGCAGCCAUGCCGCGUGUAUGAAGAAGGCCUUCGGGUUGUAAAGUACUUUCAGCGGGGAGGAAGGGAGUAAAGUUAAUACCUUUGCUCAUUGACGUUACCCGCAGAAGAAGCACCGGCUAACUCCGUGCCAGCAGCCGCGGUAAUACGGAGGGUGCAAGCGUUAAUCGGAAUUACUGGGCGUAAAGCGCACGCAGGCGGUUUGUUAAGUCAGAUGUGAAAUCCCCGGGCUCAACCUGGGAACUGCAUCUGAUACUGGCAAGCUUGAGUCUCGUAGAGGGGGGUAGAAUUCCAGGUGUAGCGGUGAAAUGCGUAGAGAUCUGGAGGAAUACCGGUGGCGAAGGCGGCCCCCUGGACGAAGACUGACGCUCAGGUGCGAAAGCGUGGGGAGCAAACAGGAUUAGAUACCCUGGUAGUCCACGCCGUAAACGAUGUCGACUUGGAGGUUGUGCCCUUGAGGCGUGGCUUCCGGAGCUAACGCGUUAAGUCGACCGCCUGGGGAGUACGGCCGCAAGGUUAAAACUCAAAUGAAUUGACGGGGGCCCGCACAAGCGGUGGAGCAUGUGGUUUAAUUCGAUGCAACGCGAAGAACCUUACCUGGUCUNGCGACCAGGCAAAAACCUUCUUCAGAAGUUCCCAGCCAGCCUCAAAAUAAGGACCAAUGGUUUCCCAGAGCUUCUUGAAAUAAGGUCCGACAACAUCCCAGUUAGUGAUAAUUAAUCCCGCAGCCAGGGCUAUCGCCGUCGCAAUCAUUCCAAUCGGCGUCAUCGACAUGAUCCUGCUGACAAUACUGAUGGCACCGCCAACGCCCAUCAAUCCCAGUUUCAGAAUCGCAAGACCGGCAGCAAGCCCGACGACGCCGCGAAUAACCCGGGGAUUUUCAUCCGCAAACUUCGUGAAUUUCUCCCCCAACUCCCCCAGCCAUUGCGUGAUAUUUUUGGCGUCACCAGAAAAUGCGCCGCCAAUAGCCGCAAGGCCGUUAGUUGCGGUCCCCGUCAUUGCCUCCCACAGGUUGGACAGCGUACCAAGCUGGGCCUGAACACGUUUAUUCAGGCUGGCCU
rnacentral:rRNA from 1 species